UACGAAGGGGGCUAGCGUUGCUCGGAAUCACUGGGCGUAAAGGGUGCGUAGGCGGGUUUUUAAGUCAGGGGUGAAAUCCUGGAGCUCAACUCCAGAACUGCCUUUGAUACUGCCGUGCUUGAGGACUGGAGAGGAGACUGGAAUUUACGGUGUAGCGGUGAAAUGCGUAGAUAUCGUAAGGAAGACCAGUGGCGAAGGCGGGUCUCUGGACAGUUCCUGACGCUGAGGCACGAAGGUCAGGGGAGCAAACGGG
rnacentral:rRNA from 1 species